UCUUCCCAGCUAGAUGCUGAGAGAGUCAAGUCAGCAAAAAAGAAUUUUGAGCUUAAGUCGACCAUAUCUGCAUUGCAAGAAGAAUCUCAGGCAGAAAAAGACCAAUUGAAAAUGACCAUAUCUGCAUUUCAAGAAGAAUUUCAGGUAGAGAAAGACCAGUUGAAAAUACCAUAUCUGCAUUACAAGAAGAAUCUCAGGCAGAGAAAGACCAUUUGAAAGCUACUAUGUCAGAAUUACAGAACGACACCAUAGAAUUCAAAGAGAAAUUAGAUUACACUAAGCAAGAGUGUCAAACUGUUUUGUCUCAACUGCAUAAAGAAAGGGAGUCUCUAAACUCAUACAAAUUAGAAAACUCACAGGUGAAAUCAACUAUUUUGAAUAAAGAGAAAGAAAUAGCAGAUUUGAAAGCUGAAAUUAGAAAUCUAGCUAAUACUUUAGUGGAAUCAGAAUACAUUAGAAACGACCUUGAGAAAGGCUUAGCUGAUGAAAGGGAACAAUUCAAGAAAGAAUGCUCCGUUUUGAACUCAUCAGUAGCAGAACUGACGCAGAAGCUUGAGCACUGUGAGAAUGAGAGAAGUAACUUGAAUCAAACAAUACAGGAGCUCAAGACUAUGAUUGUCCAUUUGGAAAAAGACAAGGAGGCUUGGUCAUCACAGCUGGAAGAAAACUGGAAACUGAUUAAAAAAAUAGAGCCUUUCAGAGAUGUCUUGGAUAAUUUUCAAAUGGAAAAAAAAUUCUUGUUGGAUAGAGACAAAUAUACAAGUGAGCAAAUGGAAAGAUUGACCAAAGAAGCCAUUAAAAACAUGGGUCAUCAAAACCAUCGCCAGAAAGUCAAAUAUGUGGAGGCUUUGAAAAAGGAAAAAAAAUACUCUCUGAAUCUGAGUGCAUGUGCCCAGUAUGCAUUAGCUUACUCCAGUCUGCAGGAAGCGCAUUUCAGUUUGGGCCAGGAAAGCUGCCAAGGAAAAUAAAUUGAUAAAAAUGGAAAGACAUCCAAGAGGCCUUCCCUGAAAAAGUGAGGCGCAGGCUGGAAGCCAGUGAAGAAAGCAACAGUGAAGAUGAGGAAGAUGAUUUUGAAGCACAGGAAAGAUGACAAAUUUCCUGUCCUGGAGAAAUCAGACAAGAAUAUGAAGCUGCUAUCCAGCAGAUUCAGCAAAAAAAGGACGAACAGGCAAAGAAAGAGGAGGAGGCCAGUAAAGUAAAUUUUGAAGCUCUGCAACAGGAAGAAUUUUUGUCAGAGAAAGUGGAAAUAGAAGAGAAAGCACUGGUGCUUGAAAAGAAAAAGUCUAAAAAAAAUAGCCUCUUUCUGAAUCCAUUUGUCAGAUUAAAGAAGUGCUUAAAAGCCGAGGAAUUAGUGUUAAGUUGGAGAGCUAACAACUGUCUUCCAUGACUCUUCCCAACUCACAGAAAACAGAUCAGCUAUACCUGCUGGCAAUAGUUCAGUUCAGACUGAUGACCUUAGGUUUGCAACAAAAUUACAAGAAUUUUUUGACUUAAUGGAUAAAAAAAGAAUAGUGGUGGAUAGGUCAAAAGGAUCUAGCAAUGAAUAUACUUUGUGAAGAAAGCAUAAAUGUGAUGAGUGACUGUUACAUUGUGUUGUUGAUUGUUAUAUGUUGGGUUGAGUUUUUUUUUAUGUUUUAGUAAUGUUUUUGUUGUUGGCUACUUUCUUUAGAUACUGUCACAUGACCCAUAACAGUCUGACCUUUUGCACUUACCUAUACUAUUGAAUGACAUAGUCAUACAAAAUAACAAUUUAAAAGAAAGAAUAAUUAUAAGUUAUGUUAUUUAUCAGCCUCUAGGCAUUAAUUUAUUGUUUAUGUCCAGAAUGUACAGAAUGCUGUGUAAACAUAUGAUGUUAUUCUAAACACAGACUUAUUGUUCUUGAGUUGUAGAUUCCAAGUGCUUCCUAUUCUAUCUAGAUCACAUGUUUUUGAAUUAUAUUGGUGUAUAUAUAUAUAUAAAUAUACAUUACAAUUUAUUGAUGAUUCUAUAUAUCCAUCAUUUGAAACCUUUCAUUUACUUUUUUUUACUGCUAAUUAUCAAACAAAAUUUCUAGAUUACAUGUAUGAUCUUUGCAUAGUCUAUGCCAAACAUUUACCCUGGAUUGUCAUGUUAUAUUUGAUAUUUUCAUGUAUUAACUUACUGCCAAAGCCUUAAAGAGAAAUACAUUCAUUAAUCCAAACUUUGCAAAAAAAACACUAUUUGAAAAUGUCUAUUUUUUUUUUUUUAACUUUAAGCAAGCAUUGUUUAUUAGAAUACUAUCAGACUUAAUCAAAAUACAUUUUCUUAAACUAAAUUGAACUAAAACUUUGACAGCACAUUGAUUAAAAUGUAACAGACUUUGUUUUUGUCAUGCCUUGUAAUAAAAGCCUUAAUGACAAA